rnacentral:lncRNA from 1 species
UAAAAAGCAGAAAUUUCGACGCCUAGGAAGUCUUAUAUUGUGAACCUACUGUUACUUACCAUUCUGACAAGAUAAGAUUGUCAAGUAAUGAAGUUUCUGUUAGCGGGAAGGAUUCAGGAGCUACACUAUCUGAAUCUACAAAGAUUGGAAAAAGUAUCAAAGAAGAGUCAUCGAAGCGAAUCAAUGAAAGCUUGUUUGAGGGUAACAAAACUCCAGUACCAUUACCUGUUUCAUCCAAAACAUUUGAGGGAGCCGCAUACGACACGAAGUGGUAAGUAGCGAAAAUCAUUGUU